CCUUGGCCGUUGGCUCGCGCGGGGGGCGGGGCGGCGCGCUGGAGGAGGGAGGGCACGCGGGGACCCGGCCCGGCCUUACCCCGCCGGCCUGCCGACCCAGGUCCGGGGGCCCAGCUGGCGCCCGGACCAGCUCUCCGGUCCGCGUCCUGUAGAUGGGUAAACUGAGGCCUGAGAGGGCGCGAGGGCGGGGACGAGGCCGAGGACUCGGGCUCGAAUCCCGAGGACGCCAGUAGCCCGCUCUGAGGCCGCGUGGGGCUGGUGGAGGAGCCACCGGUCGGGCCCCCGAGACCGGCUGACGUGGGCCUCGCCUCGGGCGACUCCCGCCGGGUUAGUGGCUGGCUGUGUGGUGACCUUGGGCGAGUUACUUCGCACAGCCACCCAGGGGCCUCUUCUCCAACACGAUAGCACUGCACCCAGAGGCAUUUUCCCUGAAAAGUUGGCCUAGUAGCCAUUCUGCUUCCUGUCAUAAUGCUGCCUUCGCCGGGCAUACAGAAGACCCUUGCCCUUCUUGUAUUGUGUUACUUUGUGGAGUUGGUGCUUGCUACAAUUCUUAUAGAAAGUCUGGCAUGGAAUUCAAAUCGCGGAGUGACAGGCUGUGUGUGGAGUUGAUUGUCUAGGUCAGAGACAUCACACCUGGCUGGUGAGGAGAGCUUUCUGACAACAGGAGCUGUCCAACAAGGAGUGGGCUGCUGUCACCGAGGAGCUGAAGCGGCCGACGGCUGACCUUCCACUGGGCACCAGGCAGGGCCCUGGAUGGAGGGAGUCUUAAAGCAGGAGGGAGAAGCCAAGGAAACAGCUCUCUAGAAGCAUUUUCUACGCUGAAAAGUGUCAUUGAAAUGCUAUCACAGUUCUAAGAGGAGACAUUGCUCCUCCGAAAGCCAGCCUCACUCCCUAAGCUGAUGUAUUUCCGGAAGCAGGGCCUGAGCUGCCACAUGCAGGCCCUGAGGACUUGAGGCACAUCGUUCUUUUUUUGGGUCUCAUCUGUGAAUCAGCCACUCAAACCUAGUGGCUCUCAGCCUGCAAGUUCAUGCAAUGCAGGGCUUCUCCACUGCUCCCCCAAACCUCCUCAGGCCACCCCUGCAUGUGCACCCACCCAUAUGGCCUGUUGUGAACAGGUGACCCUCACCUGCCAGCAUGACUGCCCUUCAAAACCUGACUUAUUGCUUGUGUUUUACAGUUACCAUAGCAGAAAGAUUUAUCUUCAUCUUUUACCAUUUAAAAAUACUAAUGGAAUUACUGUUUUUGUCUGUUUCUGUUUUGAAGCCAUACGAUUUUUCUCUCACUGCCACCACAUUUGUGAUGGCCUUAAAAAUUAUUCUUAAAGAUAAAUAUAAUUCUAGAAAAACCUUC